rnacentral:misc_RNA from 1 species
UGUAGGAGUGAGCCUGCUCGCGAUAGCGGUGUGUCAGAUGAUAAUUUUCUGACUGAUACACCGCGAUCGCGAGCAGGCUCACUCCUACA